UCGUGAAUUUCAUGGGCCACCAGACGGGC
rnacentral:sRNA from 1 species